rnacentral:sRNA from 1 species
UUUAGCCUAAUGUUUUUGAGCCCCAACAACCAUAAUUGCAGACCUGGUAAUCAUAUUCACUGAUGACGUCAAAAGGGUUUCUAUGACACAACAGCCGCAAGCUAAAUACCGU